rnacentral:rRNA from 1 species
UACAGAGGGUGCGAGCGUUAUUCGGAAUUACUGGGCGUAAAGGGUGCGUAGGCGGCGCGGUAAGUCGGGUGUGAAAUCUCGGGGCUUAACUCCGAAACUGCAUUCGAUACUGCCGUGCUUGAGGACUGGAGAGGAGACUGGAAUUUACGGUGUAGCGGUGAAAUGCGUAGAUAUCGUAAGGAAGACCAGUGGCGAAGGCGGGUCUCUGGACAGUUCCUGACGCUGAGGCACGAAGGUCAGGGGAGCAAACGGG